CGUGUCCGGGAGGAUUUGACAGGCCUGGAGGCCGCCAUCUUGACCGGCGCGCGCAGCCGGCAAAGCCAGCGCCGUGCCGCCGCCACGAGGCCCUGGAAGGCCCGGCAACACAGCCGAUUUGAACCCGACCAAUGCCCUGCCAUGCCGGAACUGCCGACCAAUGCCGAAGCGCGUAGCCCUCUCAGCUGAGCAGCCCCAGCCAAUCAGCGAGGUCCUGGAGGCCCACGAGGACCCGGACGACCGGAAAUCUCUUCACUUCGAGCCAGGCGACAGUAGAGAGUGUGCGAUUUAAUUUUCGGGUACGCUAACUAUUUAAGAGCAUUGUAAAGUGAGUGAGUGCACAUUGGAAUAUCAGAGUGAAGAGCGCAUUGCGUGAGUACCAUUGAGUGAUUGCGAUCUCCUAGCUACCCCUUCUUCCCUCUCCGCCCUUAGCAAUUGAGUCAUAGAUUUUGUAGGUCCCUUCAGGACACCACGAGCCGACCCACGUGGUCCGGCAUUCUUCUAGUUUUCCUUUGUAUUCGCGACUUGUCUUCCGCCGACUAACUCGAGGCCCGUGGUAUAUUGCGUGCGCCCUAAGUUUAGUAUCGUGCGACCCUCCCCGAUAACCCACAGCCCUUCCCACCGCUCUCACCCCCUUUUCCCUCUUCGCGUUCCAACCGAGGUAAUUUAGAAAGAAGCUAUUUUGCGAUCAAGAACCUUCUUCCCUGAGACCCCCCUCACGGCUCCCUCCGCUAGCCGUGCCAAUCACGUCGAGUAAACAAACGAGGACCUCUCGGGGUCACUCGUCGGUGCUACACCGUGACAGUAGCUGGCGCCCAGAUAUUGUUCCCCUCCGUUCCCCGACCCCCUCCCCACCGAGCCCAUUUAAAGCCCUCCGACGCCGCGUGCUCCUGAGUGAGUACACGCGUGCCUAUUCAGUUGCGUCUUCUAGCCUAAGGUUCUUAUUUCUAAUCAUAUUCUCUCUUCUUUUGUUCUAUUGUAUCAACCCCAUUUAUCUCAAUUAUACUUUCUUUUCUUAUCUUA